rnacentral:RNase_P_RNA from 1 species
AGAGUUGGCGAGGUAGUUGCAAAUUUGUUCUUAGAGACAAGUUUGAGGAAAGUCUGGACUCCCGAAAGACCAUACUUGCUGGGUAAUUCCCAGUGCGAGCGAUCGCGAGGAUAGUGCCACAGAAAAAUACCGCCAAGAAUAUUGGUAAGGGUGCAAAGGUGCGGUAAGAGCGCACCAGCAGUAUCGAGAGGUACUGGCUCGGUAAACCCCGGUAGGGAGCAAGGUCGGAGGGAUUAUGGUUGGUCUUUUUCCCAUCCCAAUGUUGGCGGUGAGGGAUGCUGCUCAAGCAGUUUGUUCAAUCACCGCCUUGGUGAACCGCAAGAGAUGUUUGGCAACAAACACCCUAGAUAGAUAACUACCCUCGAAUCAAAAUUACUUGUCAAAGUUAUUCAAGUUCGAGAACAGAAUCCAGCUUACGUUCUAACUCUCUCU